rnacentral:rRNA from 1 species
UACGUAGGGUGCGAGCGUUAAUCGGAAUUACUGGGCGUAAAGCGUGCGCAGGCGGCUUGCCAAGUCAGAUGUGAAAGCCCCGGGCUCAACCCGGGAACUGCGUUUGAAACUGGCAGGCUAGAGUUUGGCAGAGGGGGGUGGAAUUCCACGUGUAGCAGUGAAAUGCGUAGAGAUGUGGAGGAACACCGAUGGCGAAGGCAGCCCCCUGGGCCAAAACUGACGCUCGGGCACGAAAGCGUGGGGAGCAAACAGG